rnacentral:rRNA from 1 species
UGAGGAAUAUUGCACAAUGGGCGAAAGCCUGAUGCAGCGACGCCGCGUGGGUGAAGAAGGUUUUCGGAUCGUAAAACCCUUUUCUGUGUGACGAGAACGGACGGUAGCACAGGAAUAAGUCUCGGCUAACUACGUGCCAGCAGCCGCGGUAAAACGUAGGAGACAAACGUUAUCCGGAGUUACUGGGCGUAAAGGGCGUGCAGGCGGCAGUCUAAGUCUGGCGUGAAAUAUCCCGGCUCAACCGGGGAAGGUCGUCGGAUACUGGGCAGCUAGAGGACGGUAGAGGCGUGUGGAAUUCCGGGUGUAGUGGUGAAAUGCGUAGAGAUCCGGAGGAACACCAGUGGCGAAGGCGACACGCUGGGCCGUACCUGACGCUAAGACGCGACAGCAUGGGGAGCAAACAGGAUUAGAUACCCCCGUAGUCCCUGAGCGGGCUGGCAAGGCGCAU